rnacentral:rRNA from 1 species
UGGGGGAUAUUGCACAAUGGAGGAAACUCUGAUGCAGCAACGCCGCGUGAGGGAAGACGGUUUUCGGAUUGUAAACCUCUGUCCUUGGUGACGAAAGAAAUGACGGUAGCCAAGGAGGAAGCUCCGGCUAACUACGUGCCAGCAGCCGCGGUAAUACGUAGGUGGCAAGCGUUGUCCGGAAUUACUGGGCGUAAAGGAUGCGUAGGCGGCCUCUUAAGUGGGAUGUGAAAUGCCGGGGCUUAACCCCGGAGGUGCAUUCCAUACUGGGAGGCUGGAGUGCAGGAGAGGAAAGCGGAAUUCCCAGUGUAGCGGUGAAAUGCGUAGAGAUUGGGAGGAACACCAGUGGCGAAGGCGGCUUUCUGGACUGUAACUGACGCUGAGGCAUGAAAGUGUGGGGAGCAAACAGG